CGGAGACCUCACAUAUAAUGUUUACCUUCACUUUUAUUAUCUUUCCGCAUUUCUUCUCUUUCUGAUGUACGUCGACAACAAUAACUUGGUUGUCUUAUUAUUAUUUCCCCCCCUUGCUGCGCUCUUUCGCGGACGGCGUUACUCUGCUCCGGAGCGUCGGCAGAGUUUGUGAUGUUCUUCUCACACCGGCCUGUACCGUCUAGAUACCUGCCAUACUCUGCAUGGGUGAAUCCUUCUCCUCCCCCUCCUUCUUCAGUGGCCACAGAGAAGUAACCAGCUCUUGAGCUUCCUCGUAAUUAAUAAAGCAAUCUUCAGAUUUGACUAUCACAGCAUCACGCUCACAGAAUGAGAGGUUCUUUCUCAGAUCAUCAGAGUUAAACUUCAGUUUCUGAACACGAAAAUGAACAAAGAGAAAAAGGUGUUGGACAGUUUUACACAGGAACCUGCAAAAAGCUUAGAAAAUAUGUUUUGCUACAAUUUAAAGUAUAAAAGUGAGUUAAAAUGUUCAUUUACAAUAAAAUGUGUUUAAUGAUUCCUUUUACAUCCAGUUCACAUGUGUGGAAUUUGUACUGAUCCUGAGCACCUGAGGACUCUUCACCAGUUAAACCAGCUGAGGGCUGCUAACAGCUGCAGCUGAAAUAAUGUUCCUGUUGGAGGAGCAGUGAAGGUACCUGUCCGCUCUUUACAUGCAGGGCAAGGACGACGUGAUCCCAGACACAGUAAGGUGGUCCAAACGGCCCUUCAACCUCUGCCAGGUUGUUGACCUCGUCUUUUUUAUACAUAUACCUGAGAAGCAGACCAAAAAGAACCAUUUAGCAUUUUAAAGAGUUCGGAGAUUUUUAAAACACCUCACUCACACAAUUCAGAGAGAGGGAGAGGUAAAAAUGAAGCCCAGGUAGCUGCAGGUAAAGCACUCAGGUGGAAAUCUUUGCUAUUGGGUCAUUCCUAUAACUAUGAUGUAUGUAUUUUAUUUAUUUUUUUCCUACCUUUUUUCCCCACACAUGGCCUGUGGUCUCCAGAUGAAGCAUCCAUCUUUGUAAGCACAGAUGGGGUUCGGCUCAUCAGGCAGGAUGGGAUACUGUUCGAAGUUAUAGAUCUUAUUGUUGUUAUCAUUUGGGCUGUGGACCAGCACCACAUACAUCACUUCCUUUUUGUACAAGGAGGUCUUGAAGACCCGCAUGACGGGCUGCAUGUCGUUGCAAAUCUGGAAAGAAAAAGACGUUUUGCGAGAUCUAUAGAUGAGUAACCUGAGGAGCUGACAUAAACAAACAAACCUGGUUAUUGUAUUCUGAGUCAUCUCUGUGCUUGUUGACUGUCUUUUUCUGUUUUAUUUUCAGUUUUGAACAAAAUUUACAGGUUUUCUAUUCAGUUUUUUUUUCAGUCAGUGAGAUAUAAAUUAAUGUGUGUGUCUACUGGAAGACAACAUUCAUUAAAUUAGUCCAUACCUGCUGUCUGUAGGCCUCCAGCACCUCAUUCACUGUGAAGGUGAAGCGGUACGAUCCAUAUCUGGACUUCUCACUGAAGGCUGGAGAGGAGGCAAACUUCAACAGGAAGCUUUGCUGCCUCUGGGCCUGCUCCUUGGUCCGGUUUGGGAAGGUCUCCUCCAGGAGCCUCCUCUCAGCUGAUUGGAUCUCUUCUGGUCGCACAGCCAGACUCCACCACACCAGGGACAGACUGUCAUUAUUGGAUGGAUCCUUGAGGCCUUCAUCCUUUAUCUCACGUAAAGCUUUUGGGCCUGUGUCGUGUUUUAGAUGAGACACAUAAAAUUCUGGUUUGGGAUAUUCAGAGGUUUUUGUGUUUUUAAGGUAAUCAUUCUGCAAGUCAGCAGCCUCCUUUUUUAAAUCAUCGAUAUUUAAAUGUUUAUAUUUUAUAAAAUAUUCUUUUCUAUUUGGAUGAGGCUCCAUGAUGAGAUCGAGAAAAGUGUAGAUCGGCAAAUGAAAGCUUCAGUCUGGAGUGUCAGAGGAGAGGAGUGACUUGUGUUUUCCGACAGCCUGGAUAUUUAUACACUGCUUCCCACAAACCACACACACACACAACCACAUACCCACAUGCUUACGUAACAACAUUCCACUGAACAAAUGUAUUCAUUGUUGUAUUACUCUUCUUGUGUAUAAAUAAAGACCAGGGCAAGAACAGAGGGCACACAUCACACACUGCAAAUUCCUUAACAAGACUUAUUGUCUUAAAUUUAG
ensembl:lncRNA